rnacentral:lncRNA from 10 species
GGUCUUCCCAGUAGCUGUCCAUAACACGCGGACCAAGUUAAUUGCCCUGUUGGAAGAAUUAAGGAAAUAAUAUACUGAAGCAGCUAAUAUAAUGUCUGGCUCAAAAUGGAGAUUGAAAAAAUAUUAGCUCUCUUCUCCUUUCAAAUCGGGAAGGUAGGGGAAGCUUUGGAAGCAGACUUCUGACUGCUGGAGAAGAAAAAUAGAAAAAACAACAACGUGGAAACACAGAUGUGUGUUUCUGGUGUGCAGGGAAGUUGAAUUUUCCAUUUUGGGGAGAGGUUUUUUUUUGGUGGGGAGGAGGGAGCAAAGAUGGAGUGCCUACUUUAUUAUUAUUUUUAUCCCUCAGGUUGGCAGGUGGUGGAGAGAAUACCAAGACCUAGGCUCUCCUGAUCUCCCUGCAUCCCUGUCAUUUUUGGCAAUGUCGCUAAUCGGCCCAGCAGCCCGAAUCCACACGCCCCGGCGUCCGGGCUCUGCAAGGUGCAGCUGGUCUCAGGCCCUGUCUCAGAAUACAGAAGUAAUCAGAAUUUAUUCACGUGGGCCGACUGAGAGUUUUGACGUCAAAGGGCAAUCCUGUCUGAUUGAUACCACUCAAAUGGCAAUAUUGUUUGAAGAAAUGUAGUUAGAGAGAUGGCAAUUUAAAGGCUAUAAGAAGUUACAGGAAAAGAUUUUGUGAAUAGAGACUAUAAAGCACUCCUGUAACCUUGGCCCCAAAGAGGGCUCUCCAGACAGAAAGUUGCCUGCAUGUCCCGGUGCGUGUUUUUGAGUGUGAUACUGUUCUUCACUGCUCUGUCCCAAGAAAUCCAGCAUUGCCUAUGGCAUACCUUCUGAGGAAAGCCUUUGGGGCAAAGAAAUUACAAAAAUGAAGGUGGGGGAGUAUUACAAUUUGUAACAGUCACUUAAGAAUUCUCAACAUGUUUUUUUCAUUGGCUAUAAACAAAACAAGGUAAUACAAGACACCUGUGACCAUGCAAAAAAUAAGAGGCACAGAUGCCCCACCGUUAAAGCAAGCAGGUCACGCAGCAGGGGCAUUCCUGUGGGUGAGCGGCCUGGGAGACCAACAGAGAAGAAUCACCCAGGAGGUAAAACAGCAUUCAGUGAGCAAGAGGCACAGAAGUCUAGGGUGAAAUUGCCAGUGAAACAGCCUUCUCAGAAUGCUGGGAUUUUAGAAAGCACAGCUGGGAAGUUGUGGGCUGGAGAAUCCAUCAGCCUCCCUCGUUGUCUAUCUCUUUCCUUCCUAACUUUCUUGUAUCAGCCAUCAGUGCCACACUGGGUGCUGGGCUUGAGGGGAUAAAAUGGGGAACAUACGCACCCGGUUUCUGUCCUUAGGGGGCUUAGAGUAGAAUGGGGAAGAGAUAAACCCAAGUAAAUAGCAUACAAAUAAAAUAAUUGCCAACUGUGAUAAAGGACUUUGAAGAAAGCAAUUAAAGUUCUGAGUUAGAAGGUAACAUGAGAGUAAAUUGCGUUUCCUAGGGUGGUCAGGAAAUGUUUUUUUGGACAGACUUAACAUAUAAACAGAUCUGUAAGGAGCAGGGAGGAUUUUAAAGUUUGCAGUGGGUAGAGAGGUUGGGAAAGUACUGAAAGAAAGUGGUGUGGUUGGAGAACAAUAUACAAAUGUGACAAUGAAACAAAAUGGAACAAAAGAAAAGGGAAGGCUUGUCAUCAGACGUGGUGACAAGUUCAUUUUGAUCUCUCACCCUCUAUCUUCACGGUCUCUUCAGGCCUCCUAGACUUCCAUUGGAAAGCCCUGGCCUCUUGGAAUUACAGGUGUUGGAAAUCCACACCAAACUAACUUGAGCAGGGAAGGGGAAUUACCAUACUGUGAGCUGUCAGGGUGCAGCUGACCAAUAGAUGGCUGGGGCCCGGGGAUAUGGGCAUCGAGAUUCACUUUUUUUUCUCCUGUGGUUCUCCUUCAUUGUCCAGCAGACAGGCCUUGGCCUGUACUACAGUGGGACAGUGUUUCCAGUAGCAACUGUUUAUCUUCCCAAAUUUGCCACCAGGCAGUGGGGGGCUGUCUUCCCUUACUUCCAGUUUGGCUCAUGCUUGGUGAGAGACUCUGUUUUCCUUGGCUUGGGUCACAUUCCCACCCAAGGAGACAGGGUGCUGCCGGUGGCAGCGUGGGGGAAAGGAGCAACUCCCCUGCAGAUGCCUGCCUGCCUGUGAGGGCGUCGAUAUGAGUGAGAAAGGGUAAAGAGCUGUGAGUAUGUGUAUUGUGAGAUUGUGUGUGUGUGUUUAUGUAGAUGUGUGCAUGUGUAUGUGAGUGUGUAUGAAUGUAUGUGUGUAUGUGUGACUGGGAGAACAUGUAUGUGUGUACAUUUGUGAGUAUGUAUAUAUGUUGAGUGUUAUGUGUAAAAUUGUGUCUCCCUAAAAUUCUUAUGUUGAAAUCCUAGCCCCUAAUACCUUAGAAUUCAACGUUAUUUGGAGAGAGGUCUUCGUAUAGAUAAUCAAGUUCAAAGGAGACAUUAGGGUGGGCUGUAAUCCCAUUAGCUGUUGUCUUUGUAAAAGGGGAAAUUUGGACACAGAGCCACUCAGAGAGGGAAGAGGUCGUGAAGAGACACUGGCAGAAGAUAGCCAUGUACAAGCCAAGUAGAGAGGACUGGAACAGAUCCUUCCCUCACAGCCUCCGAGGAACCAACCUGGCCGACACCUUGAUUUCAGACUUCUGGCCUCCAGAACUGUGUGAGACAGCACAUUUCUGUUGUGGAAGCCACCCAGUCUGUGGUACUUUGUUACAGCAGCUCCAGCAAAUGCACACCAUGAGCGUGUGUGUGACUGUGGGCAUCUGAGUGUCAAUGUCAAUGUAUGUGUAGACUGGGAGUUGCUCUGGUCAUAAAUCUAAAGAUGGCUAUCAUGCUGCUCCUUUUCUUUGCUUAUCCAAUACCACUCACAUUUCGAGGCCUGCCACAAAUCCCCCUCCUUCUUGACAUCUUUCAUGGGUUCUCAGUGCUCCAGGUGCAAUUCUGGCUGCCACCAAUUAAUCGCGUGAUUCAUGGUGACCUUGAGGGAAACAACCUUUCUCAUUAAUCUUUGGGUCCCUGUAUUUGUCUUAUGGCCCAGCAUGUAGUAAGUACUCAAAUAAUAUUUGUUUGCUUCACUUAACCUUCUAUUUAAUUUUUUUUACUGUGAAAUAAAACAAAUGUAGAAAAUUGUACAAAACAAGAGUUUACAGCCCAGUGUUUUAUCACAAAGUGAACAUCUGUGUAACUACUACACAGAGCAAAAAAU